CGUUAUUUUGAGGUUGAUGGCGUCAUGUCCAAUUUUGUAUACAGUGAUUACAAACCUUAUUCGCCUAAUUUAUCAGUCUUGAGGUUAGCUUUAAAGUCGAUGGAUUCCUUGUGUCUGGCACCGAGCAGAGCCCCCAGCAUGGCAUCCGCAGACACCCUCACUCUCUUCAGGGCAGUCUUCAGGUUAGCUUUGAAAUCAAUGGACUGCGUGUGUUUGGAGCCCAGAAGAACACUUAGCAAAUUUUCAGCCGACAGUUUCAC